UGGAUCCAGACUUUGAUUAUGGCUCAGGAUGAACGCUAGCUACAGGCUUAACACAUGCAAGUCGAGGGGAAACGACAUCGAAAGCUUGCUUUUGAUGGGCGUCGACCGGCGCACGGGUGAGUAACGCGUAUCCAACCUGCCCAUCACUUGGGGAUAACCUUGCGAAAGUAAGACUAAUACCCAAUGAUAUCUCUAGAAGACAUCUGAAGGAGAUUAAAGAUUUAUCGGUGAUGGAUGGGGAUGCGUCUGAUUAGCUUGUUGGCGGGGUAACGGCCCACCAAGGCGACGAUCAGUAGGGGUUCUGAGAGGAAGGUCCCCCACAUUGGAACUGAGACACGGUCCAAACUCCUACGGGAGGCAGCAGUGAGGAAUAUUGGUCAAUGGACGAGAGUCUGAACCAGGCAAGUAGCGUGCAGGAAGACGGCCCUAUGGGUUGUAAACUGCUUCUAUAAGGGAAUAAAGUGAGUCUCGUGAGACUUUUUGCAUGUACCUUAUGAAUAAGGACCGGCUAAUUCCGUGCCAGCAGCCGCGGUAAUACGGAAGGUCCGGGCGUUAUCCGGAUUUAUUGGGUUUAAAGGGAGCGUAGGCCGGAGAUUAAGCGUGUUGUGAAAUGUAGAUGCUCAACAUCUGAACUGCAGCGCGAACUGGUUUCCUUGAGUACGCACAAAGUGGGCGGAAUUCGUGGUGUAGCGGUGAAAUGCUUAGAUAUCACGAAGAACUCCGAUUGCGAAGGCAGCUCACUGGAGCGCAACUGACGCUGAAGCUCGAAAGUGCGGGUAUCGAACAGGAUUAGACACCCUGGUAGUCCGCACGGUAAACGAUGGAUGCCCGCUGUUGGUCUGAAUAGGUCAGCGGCCAAGCGAAAGCAUUAAGCAUCCCACCUGGGGAGUACGCCGGCAACGGUGCAACUCAAA
rnacentral:rRNA from 1 species